CUACGUGCCAGCAGCCGCGGUAAUACGGAGGGUGCGAGCGUUAAUCGGAAUAACUGGGCGUAAAGGGCACGCAGGCGGUGACUUAAGUGAGGUGUGAAAGCCCCGGGCUUAACCUGGGAAUUGCAUUUCAUACUGGGUCGCUAGAGUACUUUAGGGAGGGGUAGAAUUCCACGUGUAGCGGUGAAAUGCGUAGAGAUGUGGAGGAAUACCGAAGGCGAAGGCAGCCCCUUGGGAAUGUACUGACGCUCAUGUGCGAAAGCGUGGGGAGCAAACAGGAUUAGAUACCCUGGUAGUCCACGCUGUAAACGAUGUCGAUUUGGGGGUUGAGCUUUAAGUUUGGCGCCCGUAGCUAACGUGAUAAAUCGACCGCCUGGGGAGUACGGCCGCAAGGGUAAAACUCAAAGGAAUUGACGGGGACCCGCACAAGCAGCGGAGCAUGUGGUUUAAUUCGAAGCAACGCGAAGAACCUUACCUAAACUUGACAUACCAAUGACAGCCUU
rnacentral:rRNA from 1 species